rnacentral:rRNA from 1 species
UUCUUCGGAGAGUUUGAUCCUGGCUCAGGAUGAACGCUGGCGGCGUGCCUAAUACAUGCAAGUCGAGCGAACUGAUUAGAAGCUUGCUUCUAUGACGUUAGCGGCGGACGGGUGAGUAACACGUGGGCAACCUGCCUGUAAGACUGGGAUAACUCCGGGAAACCGGAGCU